GAUGAACGCUGGCGGCGUGCCUAAUACAUGCAAGUCGAGCGAACAGACGAGAGUGCUUGCACUCUCUGACGUUAGCGGCGGACGGGUGAGUAACACGUGGGUAACCUACCUAUAAGACUGGGAUAACUUCGGGAAACCGGAGCUAAUACCGGAUAAUAUUUAGCUUCGCAUGAAGCAAUAGUGAAAGACGGUUCUGCUGUCACUUAUAGAUGGACCCGCGGUGUAUUAGCUAGUUGGUGAGGUAACGGCUCACCAAGGCAACGAUACAUAGCCGACCUGAGAGGGUGAUCGGCCACACUGGGACUGAGACACGGCCCAGACUCCUACGGGAGGCAGCAGUAGGGAAUCUUCCGCAAUGGACGAAAGUCUGACGGAGCAAUGCCGCGUGAGUGAAGAAGGUUUUCGGAUCGUAAAACUCUGUUGUAAGGGAAGAACAAGUACGUUAGUAACUGAACGUACCUUGACGGUACCUUACCAGAAAGCCACAGCUAACUACGUG
rnacentral:rRNA from 1 species